rnacentral:rRNA from 1 species
UACAGAGGUCUCAAGCGUUGUUCGGAUUCAUUGGGCGUAAAGGGUGCGUAGGUGGCGCCGUAAGUCGGGUGUGAAAUCUCGGAGCUUAACUCCGAAACUGCAUUCGAUACUGCCGUGCUUGAGGACUGGAGAGGAGACUGGAAUUUACGGUGUAGCGGUGAAAUGCGCAGAUAUCAGGAGGAACACCGGUGGCGAAGGCGGGAUCUCUGG